AAACUGGAUUCAGUAGCUCUUGGCUGCAAGUGCAGACAUCCCAUCUGCUGGUUCAGGUAUAUAGAACUCAUUCCUUCAUGAAGAGGCACUUCUAGAGAGACCCAUUGACCUUGCUGGGAACCUGCGCAGGCAAAAUGGAUCCCAUUGCAGGAUCUGAACAGGACUUUGCCCCAGAGAUGAAUGAUCAAAGCAACAGUGAAGAGUAAGAGAAGACCUAUUGAUUUCAGUGGGAUUACUACCUUACAGCAAGGCACUAUGCGUGAGCACAAUCCGACAUACUGUAAUUCCACUGGAAACGGUAAAAAGAUUCUGUCACCGGAGGAAUAUCUUAGUACUCCACAGUGAUGUGAAGGGAACUAUGGAGAACAUUUUUUGGUGGUGUACAGCCUGAUUCCGAGUGGGGCUACUCUUCCAACUACUUUUUAGUUCAGAACUUGUUGGAUGUGCCACAGAUCCAUUGCACUGAACAAGUCUGAAAUUUUAGAAUGAGGGCACAAGAAGCUUUGGAGGAACCUACUUUCAAUAGAGUCUCACCAUUGGAAAUGAUAUAUAGAGAGAAAAACCAAAGCAGACUCCAUGUUCUCAUUCUGUUCUCACUGAGGUCUGUCAAAGAUUCCCAUUUACCUCAGCAGAUGUGUGCCAAGGAAAGAAAUUCAUCUCAACACAAAGGUUAUAGGAACAUACAUUCUGAGAAUGCUGGUUAUAUAUUGGAGUACAUUGUAUAUUUUGGUCCAGACCUCAGCUGUACAGAGUGGCCUAAAACCGAAGAAGUCCUUUGAGAUAGAUUACAGCUCCUCUAUCUGACGUUUGCUGCAAGUGGCUGAUUCUGACAAGAGGCAAGAGGGAACCAUGUGAUAUGUAUUUGGCUGCAUGAGACUGAGUCUAAGAGAUGCGUCUUUUUUGCUGUUUCAUUCUAAAGGCGGUCAGGUUUGGGUUUUGAUGUGCACUUUGAGAAAGAUCUUAUAUUCCAGUGUUACAGCUUACCACAAAACCAUCAUUCAGCAACACAUCUGGCUCCUCUCACUGUUUGCUGCAAGGUAACAAAUAGAAGUCCACCAAAACAAAUUUAUCAACUAGGAAUCACAGAAGCUUAACUUGACAAAGCAAAAAAAGAUAGUGGAAUUAAAUGUAGAAAUCAGGAUUUGGAUGUUUUUGCCAAUGCUGAAGUAAAUCUCUGAUAAGUAAAAUUCUGAUUUUUUUUAAUGCAAAGUUAAGAUUCUGAAAAUUAACUUGUAGAAAGAAUGUGAUUGCAAGGAGUUUGCGUUUCAGAUCAACUGAGUUUUGAAAUAUUCAUUAUUUAUCAGACAUUGAGCAAUGAUAAUAUUGAAGAAACAACCUGCUCGUUCCAGGAUAACUUCAGUACCUGCCCACAAUUCAUUCAAGACAGCUAAAGAAAAUGGGGGAGCUUUCAGGAUGCUUCACACUGAAGAACUAGAUUGAUAAAGUUUACAAAGUCUGCACAAGACUGCCAUAUGCAAUGAUUCAGAAACGGAGUCACACAUUUCUAUUCGUGAAGUCAUUGUGAGAACAGGGAUUAGGUGUUAGAGCAUCAGACUCCAAUCUGGCCCAGCACUUUCCGCUAAUAGGGGUCACUUCUGUUCAGCUCCUGAUGUGGUGUGCUUUUCUGUAGAAUUGCCUUUGUCCCUUCACAGGAGAUGUGCUUAUCAUCCGGCAUUUUUCACACAGUUCGAGCUCUUUGGACAGAAGCAGCUAUAGCAUUUACUGUACUUCAUGAAUGUUACUCUUUGUGUGAUUUUUACUGUAUGAUCUUUUCUGAUUAGGCCACAAAUAUUCCCUUCUUUUUUUCCUCCAAGGGGCAGAUUUACUGGAAUCAAACUUGAAGGUAGUCUUUAUACCUCUGAGAGAAGCUUCUCAUGAUGCAAGCAGCAAUAGUUCCUGCAGGUAACUCCUGCUCAUAUGUUGGCAUUUAUAACCUAAACGAAAAUUGGUAUCUUUUUAAUACCUGCAGUUGUAUAUUUGCACAACAAAAUUUACAGCCCAUGCCUCAUAUUUGCCCUCUCUUUAAGCCAGAUAAAUGGAAACCUACUUGGAGCUUUGUUGGAGCCACACUUUCAGCUCAGUUUCCCUUGCAGAUGAAGUUACGUUCUGUAAGACAAAGAGGAAAACAGUUGUGGGGAAAAAAAGAACUUCUCUCAAUCAGGGAGGUUACAGCUAUACUGCUAUUUAGAGGCAAGGCCAGAUAAUUGGGUAAAGCCUGCCCGGUUACUUCCUAGCCUGCCUCUGUGCAUCCACAUUGCCAAAUGCAGGAGUGUCGUAGUUAGCCAACCAGGUAGUCACAUUUAUGUGGUCAGCCAAAACUCAGGCUGCCUAAAACCUCAGCUCUCCUUGAAGCAUACAAGAUCCGUUUAAGGACCAUUUAGCCAAAUUAGCAUCAUGGUGGCCCCUUGAUGCUGUUGUAAAGGCAGGUAGCUCAGUCAGUCCAUGCUGCUGGCUGCUGUGAGAACAAUGUAUUCUCCAAAGGGUAACAUGAGCUCAAGUACCCAUCUGACCCAAGUAUAUCUUAAAGUUUAAGCCUGGGGGGCAAGCCUGAGUUCAUGCAAGGCAUGUUUGGACAUAGGAAAAUGGGAAAACUGGUCCUCUGUAACCUCUAAAUUAGCUGCAUUUUCUGUCCUUAUGCAGGCCUGGAAAACUUCAUGGAAUUUUCAUGCUAAACUUUAAAUCAGUGCAGUAAGCCCAGGUGGCCUGAUUUUAGAUGUGGUAAUAAUAUAAGAAGACAUGUGAGUUUCUUGAUGUCCUAUGAUUUUGCUGGAAGUACUCUGUGCUGCUAUAGUCUCAACUGUGACUGCAUAAAAUAUAUUGAAAAUUGUUUGUAUCAAAGGUAGUUAUGAAACCAAGUCAGUAGUAGUUCAUAGCAGUGACUGAGGAAUUUAUUCAAAAAUGCUGUCAACAAAUAAUAUUUAUGUACCACCUGGGCAUUGCUUUAACAAUGUACCAUUAAGGGUCUGGUUUUAGAUGUGUAACUAAGAAGCCAUUGGUAUUUGCAAUUGUGAAAAUAUUUUCUUCUGAAAAAUUGGUGCAACUGUUUCAAGCAUUUUCCAUAAGAGCUAAUUUUUGGUAUACCAUCCUGAGUAGCAAUGUAGACACCAAAAUAACUAUGCAAUGCAAAUCUGUGUUACUUACACUCAGUUUACUACAGCUAGUUUGAUGUGAAGAAGUAGUAAUCCUGGUAUGCAAAUGUGUUUAGUUCAGUAUUUAUUCCAUCUGAUAUUUCAAUGGCAUAAUGUGACCAUGCUAAAUUAACUACUACAAACCAUAUCUCAUAGGACUUUAUAUUGCAUUUAAUGUUUUUCCUAUGAUUCAUGGGAACAUUUAAAUACUUUUCAUAUCCAGGCACCUGUGGGGAGACUUGUAAUAGUAGCUUCUGAGAUAUGAAAUCUGCUUACCUACAACUAGGAAAAAGGGUUUUCCUGAUCUCUUCUAAAUUCUUUAAGAUAGAGAAAAGGCUUUGGGGGUUUUCCCCCCUUAAAGAUAGACUGUAAUUUUUGACAGAGCAAUGUGUUAGCUCAGUUAUCUUACAAAAUUUUAUAACUACCUCAUUCCUGCUGUCCUUGAUAAUUAAAAUUAUCACCAUCGGUUUCGUGAGCUUGUAAAUGUGCAGGGAUUUCUGCUGUAUCUCAUCCCACCAAUUGUGUCUGCUAGCAGCUUCACGAAGCCAUUGGAGGAAGGCCAUGGCACUGAUCUCACUAUGUAGAUAUCUGUACUUUGUUAGAAUUCACUUUUCCUAAACUGCAAACAGCAUUAACUGUUCCUCUCUUACUUGCCUCCAGAGCAUAGUCUUUUACUAAGCUGAUGCCUAUGAAAAAACUGCCUGAGACGGGCUAUAGGAAGAACUGCUCUUGCUUUACAGCUGCAAUAUCCACAAGAGGAAGGGGACAUUUCUGCUUUUUUGAAGCAAUGUAUAUUAAUAACUAAUAUAUCAUUUUUAAAUGUGGAAGGUUUCAUUUCAAUAGUUAAAUCAGCUGAUAGUCUGUAGAAACAACAACUUUUUUUUUUUUUUUGCAAACCUGAAUUUACUUAUAACCAGGAUAUAACCAGACUGCCAGGCUGCUAUGUUGAGAAAAUAUUCUGUUUUUUCUUCCUUCAAGCAUCAGCAGUAGAAAACAGGGGAAAAAACAAAACAAACAAACAAACAAAAAACAGACCCACACAUCAUUAAGUCAUGGUUCCAUCAAAUUCCCAUUUAUAACAAGUUUUGAUGUGGCAAAAGUCAGUGUAUGCAAUGGAAAUUACCCCAGUAUGAAAACAGUGAACGUGAUUUUUUCAUUUCCUCCUUUUUCAUCAAAACCAUUGUGCCAGUGCAGAGUAUAAGUAUAAAAUGUUAUUGUAUUGAUUUGAGUUUCUCUACUAUUCAAUCAGCCACAAGGCAGCAAUGUGUUGGAAUGGGAGCAGGUCAGAGCAUCAGGUAUCCACUGUUUCUAAUACUGCCUCUCCCAAAAGGAGGCCGAUUUAUGCCUAGAGCAACUGAUCCACUUAUUUUUCCCAGCUAAAACUGUAUUGCUUAAAUGAGUGUUUUUCAAACUCUGUACUGACAAAAUUCUGGAAUAACAUUUAAGACUAGAUCAAGUUUCAGAUAAAUGAUUUCCCAUCUUUUUGUGGAUCUAGGGAUACAAACUCCAGUCAUUGUUCUUUUUCCAGUGAAAAGGUUCAAGAGGAAAUUAAGGGGAGCCUACAGGUGCCAAGUUUUGUACUGAGUAUAACUUGCUAAAUGUCGAACAAUGUCUAACAAGAGGAAGAGGCCAUCAAGUAGUUUACAUCCAAGUGUGAGUUGCCAUAAAAUUAGCAUAAUAGCUUUUGGAUUCCUAACACCUUUCUACUUCAAAAUCUGCUCAUUUAUUACAAAGAAACAUUUGACACUAUUUACAUAGUGGUUACCAUAUCUUGGCUUGAUACAUUUCUCAAACUGUAAAAGCCUUGCUCUGUACACAGUAUGUUUUCUGUAUAGCCUACAUUUUGCAUAAUUACAUACUAAUUAAUGCCUUGUAAACAAAAUAUAGCAGUUUUAUUCAUUGCAGCGGAGAUGACAACAUUGUGUUGCUGCAUUUGUUUUUUUUAGCCUGAAGCCAUUAAAAAAAUAGUUAAUGGAACUUCAUUUUUCAACCUGAUAUUUAAUCCAUGAUAAAUUUCCCCAUUAAAGACCACUGCCAUUCUUAUAUGACAGUACAUGUAGCUGAGUGACGUAAGCCUCUGCCCUCUUGUGGCAGAUCAGGUUGGUGAAGUAAGCUAAUGAUUAGGGAAUGUUUUCUUUAACUCCAACAGUGUUUCUGUAAAAUGGUAUUAAGUUUUAAGGGCUCAGUUCUGCAGUCAGUGAAGUCUUAGUCUCCUCUCAUAGUUUCCUAAUGGAGCUAGGCCCAUGGAUAGAAGAUGACUAGCCUUUCUGACUCAGCUCUGCCAUUCAAACUCUGCUUUAAACACAGUAUUUUAAAAGAAAAAAAGUCCCUGUGCCAUGUUGAUGGAUAAAGCUCUGCUGGCAAAAGACUCUUUAUACAGUCCCAACUUCUCUGCUAAGACUAAACAAGGUGGUUUGUCAGUGUGACCAUCCUGGCACGCACUGUUUAAGCAGACAAAUAAUCAAAUAGAGAACUAAGCUAUAACAGUUCACACUCAUCUUCUACAGACACUACAGAGAGUUAACGGAAGGGUUAAUUAAUCAAGAUAUACUUCAAUGCAAAAGUUAAUCAGAGAAUACUGGUGAAUGAAUGUAGUUGUGUUGCAGGGAGCCUAGGGAGUAUACACUUGGGCAAGGAAGAAACUUUUUCCUUCUUUGUUGCCCUGGCAGCAGAGUAUUUUUCAAUGAUACUUUCAAGGUACUUGCUGAUCCGUGCAGUUUCUUAUUUUGAGAUUCUGACAUAGUUUGUGGGUGGCUCACGGUGAAAAGAGGAGGAAUGAUAAUAAGAAAGAGGAGAGGGGCACAGUUAUGAGCAGAAGUAGAGGGGUCAUGAGAAUUUUAUGGAGACAAGCUAAUAAGCUCUGGGUAUAUCAGAAGCCUCAGGAGGUGGCAAUAAAUGAGUGAUAAUGGUUAGAAUCUAGAAGUACAGAAAAAUAUAGCUAAGGGAGACUUGAUGUCAGGUUUUGCUGGUCUGUGCAGAGCUACUCUUCUAAUUCACUCCUGGAAACAGAUCAUAGGGGUCUUCUUAACUCCAAUUCAGUAUAAUAAAAGGCUGACAGACUUUCUGAGGGAAGAGACAAAUUGUGUGUAAGAAAACUCUCCAGGUUCAGCAAGUAGAAAAAUAAGCUCAAGCUAAGUAUAAUGUUGUAGUAAUGUAUUUAUAAUCUCAGAAAUCUGUGAUAUAAAUUAAGGGUAAAUUUGAACUACAGCAGUGGAGUCGGUUUUGAUCUUGUAUUCGAUGCCUUAAGAUCAGAAAUCUCAUCUGUUUAACUUAAUGAGAAAAAUGUGAUACUCAUUUAGCAGUUGACAGUUCUUCUCUGUAAUGGUAAUCCACACAGAUUUAAGGGUCUGUCACCUAGUUUUUGAGCUCAGUAGUGCAGAGAUCUCUUCCCUUAGAUGCUAUACUGCCCACAAGGUACUAUGAUGCGCUCCAUAUUUAAAUACUACCAGAUGUAUCCACCAUAAGAAAACCAUAUGGCAUUCAGAUAUCAGGCUGCCAGAGAGCAAUUGGUUGUAAACAAUGUAGCACUUAAAACAACUUUUCACUUGUGGUGAAAACCACAAGAAUAAAAAGUAAAAAUAGGAAAGUAAAAUAAAUUAGUUCUUUAAGUUUGAAAGGCCAGAUGAACAAUGUAAUAGUGUUUGUCUGCUUGUAAUGCAGUAUCUAUUGAAUGCCCUAGCUAGUCAGUUCCAGGGAAUAUUCUAGGAAUCAAUGGGAUAUCAAUUCUGUUGAUUUUGGGACAUAUCAGGAAAAAACAACAACAAAAGGGAGGACGAUGGAGCUUCUACCAUGUGUUUGGCAGAAUCUCAGCUUUGGUAUUUCUGCAGUAAUGGAUGGCACCUUUCCUAUCCAACCUUGUCCAUCCCCCUUAUAGAGUUUAAGAUGCUGAUGUCUUGACAGCUAAAUCACUUAUCUCCCAAACAAAUAAUAACAGAGGAGAGAAGGGUGGGUACACAAAGACUGAAAAUACUGUGUUUCCCUUUUCUGGGAGUGAAAGAAGAUGGGGAAACACAGACUUUAUCAUGGAAUGAAGAGCUUUCUGGGAAUGGUAGCAAGCACCAUAGGAAAUGGUGGCCCUUUCUGUGAGUGGGCAGGGGGUGCACAGAGCCCCAGGAGAAUGUGAAACCCUGUGUGGGGCAGUGAUGGGGUGGCCUGUGACAGAGGCAGUGUGCACUGAGAGCCCUAGCUGAAGGAAGAAAGGUGGAGGUGGGAGUGAAGGUUGCACCUGGGAGGUUCUUGUAGAGGCCCAGGCAUGAGAGUAACUAGGGAAGCUGCGAAGAGAGGUGAAUGGGAGAGCAGAAGAAAGCCAGGGAUCACUGGUGUCUGCAGUGAACUUGGCCUGACAGAAACUAUUAAGUGUAGAGUUCCCUCAUGCAUUUAAUUGCAAAUUUAAAAAUAAACAUUGUGGAUUAGCAUCCAUGUAGUUGUGAGCAUAUUUGUUACUAAAUCCCACUUCUCCGUGUCCUUUGUGUACUGCUACCAUGAACAGACAGCCUAACAUUUCUCAAACAUCUGUUUUGAAAGACUUCAGAAUAUUUGCUUACAGUGGCAUGUAUUUAACAUUUAAGCACUUUCAGCAGCUCUUUGAAACAAUUAGCUCAUAAUGAGCAGCUUCCAUGCUAGCAAACUAUACUAAAAUGCUUAUUAAAAACUUUAAAAUGUUAAGGCUCUGACUUUAACAAGAAAAAGGCCACACAAUCAUCAGCUCACUCUGGAGAGUCAUUUUGAGGUGUUGUUUCUACAAAGCAGAAAAUAAUUGAUGCAAGGAAGUUCUAUUUCACAGUACGCUUUGGUGCCAGGACAACGCACAUCAAAGCCUGCUGAGGGUGAGUGCUUUGUGAUAAAUCCCUGAAGCAUCGCAUGAACAGAGCUUUAAGAUGAUACAUCAUAAAGUUCUUCGAGAUUUUCUUGGGCUUCUUCGUAAAUCUGUAUUUCACUUCCUUCAGUAUCAUCAGGCUCCAGGUGCUGCCUAGACAACCUAGCAGUAAAAAGUAGUUUCACAAGGCCCUCAAGCCAGGGAAAAGGGAAGACAGGGAAUGUGCUUCUUGGCACCAGCUGUUCCAGAUGGAAGGGGCUGGCAGCUAGGUCUCGUUAUAGGAGUAGACCAUCAAAAAUAAGAACUUGGGUCAUGAGUGGGGCUUUUCCUUGUGGAAGACAUGUGCUGUUCUUGAGUAGACAGUACUCACUGACCAAAGAAUUUUGUGGUCAGUAUUUGAGAACUCUGACUUCCUGAAGCAGUCCUUCAACAAGGUUUCAUUGUGGAGAUCCCUGCCAGGAUUUAAAGAAAAAAAAAAUUAAGGUUCAGCUUUGAUGCUCCAACCCUUUAGUUAGCUGAACAAAAAGAUUGAUAAUGUUUUUCCUUGAACUACUUCAAGAAAUAUAGAAAUGAAAAUAAAUGCAAAAAGAAAUCUCUCCUUCUUUCCCCAUAAACUUUAGGAGUGUUUAUUUUUGCCCUGAAAUGUAAAUUCUUCUAAUCUAAAUGAACCUAAUCUGUAGCUUGCAAUUUCUGGUGACUGCAAAAUGGAAAACUACCUAAAGGGGACUUACUACAGCUUAUUGCAACUAUUCUAUUGAAGGUAUUAAGUUGUUUCACAUCAAAUAUGCAUAAGAGGAAGUUACUACAAAUUUAGAAAACAAUGCUAUGAAAAAUAUAUGGAGUGCAUGUACGUAACUGUUUUUAAAUUAUAUAUAUUUUUAAAUCCAUACCUCUGCAUGCUUAAAACUGAAUGUAGAUUUUCAGGACCUCGGUGUCUAGAAGGCCCAUGCAACACUAUGUUUCCAUUGUGCUGGAGACUGUGCAAUUGCAUAGUAUGAAAUGUUCAUCCUGUGAAGAGCUGAUACUUUAAAUAGACAAGAGUAGCUAAGAAAAGCUUAUUAUUUGGGUAUUAUAGAUGAAGAAGGGAGGGCCAGAUAGACUAAAUGUACUCUGUAAGGCCACAUGGCUUUCUAGCCAAACUAAGAAAUAAAGCUUGAUCACACACUCUGUCUUCUGUAAAUGUUGUUACUUUGGUGAUUUACUCAAUAAAAAUCACUGAAAGCCUUAAAAACAGGAAUGAAGUCUCAGUAUUCUUCAGCAGAGUGUACAGUUUGGUACUUGAACCCAGUAUGUUUCCUGAUGUAAUCAAUGGAAGCUUUAGCAUUCUCUGAAGUAAGAGCAGGAUUUCAGCCAUUCUGUUUGUAUUAUUAAUGUGCUAAUCUUCUUUGAAAAGAAAUGAAGGGUUUUCCAUUACAGAACUUUGUUGAUUGUUAAGACUGAUAUACGUCUUUGUCAGUGGUGAACCUGCCCCAAUACCAGGGCCAGAUUCCUCUGUUAAAAGUAUCUUUAAGAUUCCCCUCUGCAUUUUUUUUUUACAGUUUUCAGCAGGACAGUGCUCCCACUAACAUGAACCAAUUUUUGCCAUGACUUCAGUGGCUUUAUGUGUGUAGUUUACACACUUCUCUGCAACAUCCUAUAUCUUGGUUCUAUUUGUCUUAUGAAUAUGAAUUGCUGUCCCAUAGAUGAUCUUCUGUGCUAUUGAAAGAUAUUACAUUUAUGAGCAAGCAAUGAAUACUUGGAGAUGUUAGUUGGUAGGGAAAAACCUAGGAUGUAGCUAUUUGGAAAUGCCUUCCUUUUUCCUACAUGCUCAGACACAUUUGGAACGCUGUUAUAAAAUACGCUUUGAGAGUCACAGUGAUAAAAUGUUCCUUUCAGAUGCUGUAAAUAGACAAAAGAAUUCUUGCAAAUCAUGAUGAUUUUGAAGACAUAAAUCAAAUAACCAAUGCAUCUUUAGUAUACCUUGUUUUCUGUGAUUAUCCACACAAUUACCAUAAUUGCCCAUUGUAUUCAAUGCAUUUUAGUAAUAUUCUAAUAACUAUUGUUUUCCUGAAAAAUGUUGUAUUUCUAGUCAUUGUCAACAGAUAGCAUAUGUGCUUGGCAUCAUAAGUUAUAUAUCAUAUCAAAGAAAAAUAUCGCUUUAUCCCUUGCUAGCUUUGCUAAUUAUUGAAAAAAAUUACUUUUUAAAAAUGUCUAUUUUACAUAUUGCAUUAGAUUAUGAUUUUGCAUGUAUCAUUGAACUAAUGUCUGUGAAUAAACUGAGCAAAAUUACCCAAAUUAGAAGUUGACCAAAAUACUCAUUGAAUAUAUUUACUUUCAGCUUUGAUGCCUGCUUCCACAGCAGAGAGAAAAAUAAGACCUUGGGCUUCAGUCAUAUUCAGCAAAAAUUCUGAGCUUCAUUUUUCUUCCACUGCUAGGCAUGUCUAGAUGAGCUUUUACAGGUAAACCUGAGUUCAGUCUGCCUGUACUCUGAGCCAACAUGAGCCAGUUCUCACCAACUAUGAGCUAUCCAGCAGGUAUAUGCAUUCAGUAGCAUGACACCAAGCACAGCUAAAAUACCCUACAUCACAGCAAUGUAUGGCUCUAAUCAGCUCAGAACAGAGGCAGGCUGAAGUUCCAUCUGCUGGUAAAAUUGUAUC